rnacentral:rRNA from 1 species
UGAGGAAUAUUGGUCAAUGGACGCAAGUCUGAACCAGCCAAAUCGCGUGAAGGACGACUGCCUUAUGGGUUGUAAACUUCUUUUAUAAGGGAAUAAAAAGAGAUACGCGUAUCUUGUUGCAUGUACCUUAUGAAUAAGCAUCGGCUAACUCCGUGCCAGCAGCCGCGGUAAUACGGAGGAUGCGAGCGUUAUCCGGAUUUAUUGGGUUUAAAGGGUGCGUAGGCGGGAGAUUAAGUCAGCGGUGAAAUUUACAGGCUCAACCUGUACCCUGCCGUUGAAACUGGUUUUCUUGAGUAUAGAUGAAGUAGGCGGAAUUCGUUGUGUAGCGGUGAAAUGCAUAGAUAUAACGAGGAACCCCAAUUGCGUAGGCAGCUUACUAAGCUAUAACUGACGCUGAUGC